CCUACGGGAGGCAGCAGUGGGGAAUAUUGCACAAUGGGGGAAACCCUGAUGCAGCGACGCCGCGUGCGUGAUGAAGUAUUUCGGUAUGUAAAGCUCUAUCAGUAGGGAAGAUAAUGACGGUACCUGACUAAGAAGCUCCGGCUAAAUACGUGCCAGCAGCCGCGGUAAUACGUAUGGAGCCAGCGUUAUCCGGAUUUACUGGGUGUAAAGGGAGCGCAGACGGCAUGUCAAGUCUGAUGUGAACUUCCGGGGCUCAACCCCGGGACUGCGUUGGAAACUGGCCUGCUAGAGUGCAGGGAAGGUAAGUGGAAUUCCUGGGGUAGCGGUGAAAUGCGUAGAUAUUAGGAGGAACACCAGUGGCGAAGGCGGCUUACGGGACUGUAACUGACGUUGAGGCUCGAAAGCGUGGGGAGCAAACAGGAUUAGAUACCCGGGUAGUC
rnacentral:rRNA from 1 species